AGCUUUCAGACAAACACAUUAGACUGGAUCAUAAUGGAAAAUAGAAUCUUCUAAAUCUGAAAUCACAAGUGUGCCAAGAAUUUAGGGACUGACUGUAUUUCUGGGAACCUCUCAGCUUGUGGUCAUUCUUCUGACCACCUUGGAUAUGACACCAGUAUCUUUCUAAAGGCCAUGAAUGCUCACAGGAAAUUCAGUCACUGAAGAUGAAUCAAAAGGGAUUGAGAAUGCUGAGCCUCAAGUCAAAUCUUCACACAGUCGGUUGUCAAAGCAAGACAGAAAAUUGAGGAACAGAAGUCCUACAUCAUGUUUUUCCUGCAGACAUAUGAGGCUGAAGGAGGCUCAAAUAAUGUAGAAGAAAAUCACCCCAGAGAAGCCUGCAGAGCC
rnacentral:lncRNA from 12 species